rnacentral:rRNA from 1 species
AAAAACAUGUCUUUUUGAAUUUAAUUUAAAGUCUAACCUGCCCKCUGAUUUUAUAUUUAAGGGCCGCAGUAUUUUGACUGUGCAAAGGUAGCAUAAUCAUUUGUCUUUUAAUUGAAGGCUAGAAUGAAUGGUUGAAUGAAGUAUUAACUGUCUCAUUAUAAUAAAUUAAGAAUUUAGCUUUUAAAUUAAAAGGUUUAAAUUAAAUUAAAAGACGAGAAGACCCUAUAGAUUUUUAUAUUAAUUUAAAUAAUUUAAUUAAAGUAAUAAAAUUUAAAUUAAUUUAGUUAAUAUUUGAUUGGGGUGAUUAGAAAAUUUAAUAAACUUUUUUUAUUUAUAUAACAUAGAUUUAUGAAUAUUUGAUCCAAUAUUAUUGAUUAAAAGAUUAAAUUACCUUAGGGAUAACAGCGUAAUUUUUUUAAAGAGUUCAUAUCGAUAAAAAAGAUUGCGACCUCGAUGUUGAAUUAAAGAUAAUAUUUAAAUGCAGCAGUUUAAAUGUUAGGUCUGUUCGACCUUUAAAUCUUUACAUGAUCUGAGUUAAAACCG